rnacentral:lncRNA from 1 species
GAAACAUCCAUGUCUGAUUAGCAUGAAGGUUAUGAGGAGAACGUGAUCACAGCCAAGGUAGUCUUCUCAAAAAGGUGCAGAGAGCCUGGCCACACAGCAAGAAGGAAUAAAGUGAACAAGCAAAGAAAUGCAAAGGAGGAAGACGACAGAAGUAGUGUGCCAAUUUUAUCACAUUGUAUCAAGGGUAUGUACUAUCGACCUGGUUUACCACUGUUUAUGUUAACUUUAGUCACCUGAUUGAGGUAGGUAGUAUUUGUCAUGUUUCUCCACUGUUACUGUUUUAAAAUGGUUACUAACCUAUUCGAAGUAUAGUUUAUAUGAAGAAAAUGCAUACAUUUUAAGUGUAUGAAGACAUUACUUUUGACAGAUAGAUUUACCUACGUAGCCACUAUCCCAAUCAAAACGUAGAACAUUUCUAUCAACCCUCUAAAGUUGUUUUAACUCCCCAUAAUUCAAUCUUUUGAUUUCAUGAAGUCUCGAAAGAAUCCAUUUAGUUAUAAUUGAGUCAUAAAUGCCCAAACUCUGUCAGGUAUAUCACACAUUUUGAGUUUCUCUGGAAAUAAGUAUUCUGGUUGUUAACUGCUUGAUUCUAUUGGGUUACCUUUAACAGAUUGGUUGUUUCUGCAUCUAUUUUUCCUGACUGGAUUAACUAGGAA